rnacentral:rRNA from 1 species
AGCGAACGCUGGCGGCAGGCUUAACACAUGCAAGUCGAACGCCCGGGCAACCGGGAGUGGCAGACGGGUGAGUAACGCGUGGGAACGUACCCUUUGGUUCGGAAUAACUCAGGGAAACUUGAGCUAAUACCGGAUAAGCCCUUUUGGGGAAAGAUUUAUCGCCGAAGGAUCGGCCCGCGUCCGAUUAGCUAGUUAGUGAGGUAACGGCUCACCAAGGCGACGAUCGGUAGCUGGUCUGAGAGGAUGAUCAGCCACACUGGGACUGAGACACGGCCCAGACUCCUACGGGAGGCAGCAGUGGGGAAUAUUGGACAAUGGGGGCAACCCUGAUCCAGCCAUGCCGCGUGAGUGAUGAAGGCCCUAGGGUUGUAAAGCUCUUUCGGCGGGGACGAUAAUGACGGUACCCGCAGAAGAAGCCCCGGCUAACUUCGUGCCAGCAGCCGCCGCAG